GAGAGGGUUGGGAGAGAUAAAAGGAGGGACUUUCUAAACUGGAGAAGAUGCAGUGGAAGUGAAGAUUCCUAUUUGGCAGGACCCCAGAGUACCCAGGCCCAAGCCCACUCCGGAUAUGGAGAAAGUUGGGCCUGAGUUGGGGGGACAGGAGAGAGAGCGUGGGGCGGGCCGCCUCGGGGGCACAUGACGGCGGCGCCCGCCCCGCCCCGCGCCCGCCCCCUGCCCGGCCGUGGGGGGAGGAGACGCGGAGGUUUUAAAGGCGAUCUGGGCCGGCCGGCGGGGUGGGGCGCGGCCGGCGUCGUCUCGCCCGCGCGGAGCCCGCUCCCCUCCCCCGCGGGGAAGUGGGGUCCGACCCGGGAGAGACUCGCGGGGCGCGGGCGGCGACAACUUUCCCGCGCGGGCCGGGACGAGAGAGGGGCCGCGACCGGCCGGCCCCGGAGGCAGGAGCCGGAUCUCGCUGCGGGCGACAGCAGGUAGACUUGCGGGGGCCUGGAGGCCUGACCCCGGCGUGUAGCAGCCGAGGCCACAGCCCUUGGUCCUCGCGAGAGGCUCGAUGUCUUGUGCUGGCCCCAGGCUGACCUCUAGAUUCGCAGGCCACCGAACCCCUGGGCUGUGCGUGACCUUCCCUCCGGCCCACUGGCUGUCUGAGUGUCUAGGAAGUGCCCUGGCUCCCUGUACCUGCCCCCUUCCCAGCCUCAACAGCUGCCCGCCUCUGGCAGGGUGGCCUGAGAAGGUGCUACACUCCGAUCCAGCCUGCUGUUCCCUCACUGUGCCUCGGCCGGCUGGGGUUCCUGGGGAUGGGAUUUGAUGCCAGUCACAAAUCACAUUGCCAGGGAUUUCCAACUGACCCUGUGCUCUGCCUUGGGGACUCCGGUUGCCAAGGACGCCCACCCUGGGGACUGGGUGAGAGAGAAGCCCCGUGUGACAACCGGCCUGAGGAGCAGGGCUUAGCUGCUUGUGAGCAAGGUCCACAGCAAGUCGUGUUCACAGUGGCUAAGUUCCGCUCCCCCGGGCCCCAUCUCCUCAGACGGCGCUGCCCGCCCUGCUCUGCCUCCUUCUCCCUGGGCUUCGCCUCCUGUGCCUACUGAGCUGAAACAGUUGAUCCCAGUGCACUGGCUCAGUUCAGCAGGAACAGGAGUCCAGCCCCCAGGAGCUGGCCCCCACAAUGUCUGCCACGGCCUGAGACCAGGAUGGAUGGGACCGGGGGCCAUGGGGCGCUCAGUCGUGCCUAGGUCCAGCUAUCUGCUGUAGGCCCUUCCUCUAAGCCUUCCUCUGGGCACGCCACUCCACAUGGCCACUCCUGGAGCUCUUUGUGGUUCCCACAGAGAACAGAUGGAUGAGUGGGUGAUCCUCGCAUAAAAAGGCGAGCCGGCUGUGUCCUCUCAGCCUGCAGCCCUUCCUCUCCGGAGCCCAGUGGGGCCCAGGCACCACCCCUUACAUACACCUUGCCUUGUCAGUUACCCAAGAGGAAGCUGCUCUAGGCCCUCUGACCGUUAAAUGCCAACUCCCAGCUUCCGCAACAAAGCCCUGACCUUAUCCGGUGUGCUUAGCACCCCAUGAGGCCUGCAGCUUUCCACUGGUGUCAGUGAUGCAGGGAGCAAGGUCCCUCAAAGGACAGGAACAGAUCGGCCCCUUUCCCCUGAUACUGUGGCUUCUUGGAGUAAUCUCCAGGCUUAGAAGUUAAAAAGUUGCCUUCUGAACCGGGCAUAGGUGGCUCACGCCUUUAAUCCCAGCACUCGGGAGGCAGAGGCAGGUGGAUCUCUGUGAGUUCAAGACCAGUCUGGUCUACAGAGCAAGUUCCAGGACAGUCUCCAAAGCCACAGAGAAAUCCUGACUCAAAAAACAAAAAAGGUUGCCUGCUCUCUCCAAACCAGACAGGAUGUAGUCUAGUUGGCACAGGGCUGAGUUACACUUCCCAGAUCACCCAGUGUCCCCUCCCAACCCUGGGUAGGGGAAAAUGGAGGCUUGGGUGGAGGGACAGAUAGGUGGAGCUUGUAUUGAAUGUGCCUGUUUUCUAAUUAAAUAAAAGCUUGCCCAGUUCCCCCUUAAA